GCGUUCUUGAAGCGUCCGUCCGCACCACGGCCUGGAGUCUAGGGAGCCGUCAGCGCACUGGACCGGGACAGAAGCUAGGGAUCAUACGAGGCGCCCUUCUGGUUUCCUUGGAGAAUCGCAUGCCAAGUGGAGAGGCUCAAGGGCAGAACUAAAGGGACAAAAGCUGGCCCAGUCAGCCCCAGGCCAUCAGGACUUCCUACGUGUUCAGCUGCUUGUGACUGAGAGCCCGGAGACUGCGGAGCCAUUCCCCAGCCUGCGUUGCUCAAGCAGGUUCUGUGGCGCCACAGGAUGAGUGGGUGACGUAUCAGAGUCGGCAGAUGGAGUGCACCUUGGUUUAGCAGAGCAGCUGCUGGAGGGGCUUUUUGAGGAAUGUAGCCCCAUCGGGCCAGGUUCGUUUCACUGAGCCCUGGGUCUGAGGGCGAAGCCCUGCUGUGGACCUUCUGAUGAACAUAAAUGCAUCCUGACCACAACCAGCCAAGAGCCCUCCCUGGAUCCUGCCAGCUCUGUGGUCCCUGAUGAAGAUGUAGCUCUCAGCCCUGAUGAUGCAGCUCCCGUGCCCUGCCUGCCUGCCUGCCGCUCAACUCCCUAUCAUACUGUUCAUAGACUUACCCUCUGAAACUACAGCCAAUCCUCCAAUUAAAUGUUUUCUUCUUU